rnacentral:tRNA from 4 species
GCCGGAGUGGUGAAACUGGUAGACGCACUGGACUCAAAAUCCAGCGAUCUUAUGAUCAUGUCGGUUCGACUCCGACCUCCGGCACCA